AUGGAGUACAUCGUUCUCAAUGUAGGCAUCGUGUUCCUGCCCGAGGAUAUGGACCAGGCUCUGGUGGAUCUGGGGGUGCUCUCCGACCCUGGCUCCGUGCUCUACGAGACGGACAGCGAGCUGGAUGUCUUUGAUGGAUACUUGGAGUGACGCUCCGGGGCGCUCCGAAGCGACUGACUGCGGGGUUACGCCGCCCGGGCCGGGGCUGGGGCUGGGUGUCCCGGCAUGGGCGCAGCUAGGGGGCCGCCGUGGCCCCAGGAUACCCUCGCUGCGGCUCGGCUCCUUCUGCGCCGCAUCUUCCCUUACAAUUCCGCCUCCACUCACCUCCGGGGCAGGGGCGGGGGGCCGGGACCCGUUGCCGCCGGGCAGGGCCGCGGACACGCCGAGGGCUUGCCAGGAAAAUUCAUUAAACACCUGAAAUGGAUUAUGACCAGGUGCAUGGAUCAAGUCCUGGAAAGAAAUUAUACUCUGAAAUGUGGAGAUGAAAAGAAAGUCAAGGGGACAACAAGAAGAGUUGUUAUCAGACCUUGUCAGUUGUGACUUUUCUCCAUGGUCAUUGCCUCUUGAGUGUGCAGUAACUGCAGUGAUUCAUGCACCGUACUGGGCUUCCAUAGGUAAUUCUGGGAUGGACCGUAUGAGCAAAUAAUAUAAGCUAUGUUCUAUUAUAACAGAAAAUCAAGAUGUUACUCAGAGUUGAUAAACUUCUGAAUAAAUACCAUGUUACCCGAAUGGACAUGCUCUACAUACUGCUUAAGCAAGUGUUACAAUCACACAUUGAAACUCUACCAGCCAGUAGUUCAAAGACAGUGCUUUCUCAGGGGGCAAGCAGCAGGAGUGACUGCAGGGAGGUUCUGUUCAGGGCAGCAUUACGGCAAGAACUGUGCUAGUAAGAUAUUUUAUUUAAAUUGUGAGUUUUGAAAUAGAUCAGAGAGUGAAUUUUAUAUGUCAGAUGGAUUCGUUAUCUAACACAAGAUACUUUGCAGAUUGUUUAAGCUCAUGUUCCUAUGUACAGAUGUGAAAGCAAUACAAUAAAGACUGACCUUUUCCAUGAAAAAGUUCAGCAGUCAUGUGUUGGAGUUGUUCUUUUUCAGUUUCAAACUGAAAUAACAGACAAUAACUGAAAUAUGCUUUCCAGGAAAAGUACCUGCAAAUAGCUCCAGGUGGUUGAGAUGGC
rnacentral:lncRNA from 1 species